rnacentral:rRNA from 1 species
UACGUAGGCAGCAAGCGUUGUUCGGAGUUACUGGGCGUAAAGGGUGCGUAGGCGGUUGUUUAAGUUUGGUGUGAAAUCUCCCGGCUCAACUGGGAGGGUGCGCCGAAUACUGAAUGACUAGAGUGCGGGAGAGGAGAGUGGAAUUCCUGGUGUAGCGGUGAAAUGCGUAGAUAUCAGGAGGAACACCGGUGGUGUAGACGGCUCUCUGGACCGUAACUAACGCUGAGGCGCGAAAGCUAGGGGAGCAAACAGG